UAGGGAUGAGCUACACAGGAUGUUAAAUGAGGUAUCAACAAGCCCCAGAAUUUCUUAAGCAAAAAUGAGUAAACUGUUUAUGGAACUAUGAAAUGUUGCAAUUAAGCAAGGACAUCACAUUGGUAUUUGAUUUGUUACGUCUGCAUGGUUUUCCCUUGAUCCAAAUACUACUUCUUGUGCUGGCAGGAUGAGCUGAGGGAUGCUGUACUGCUUGUAUUUGCAAACAAGCAAG
rnacentral:misc_RNA from 1 species